AAGCGCUUGCAACCAGACUUGCGCGCGGCCGAUCAUCCGGUGUUCUCACCGGUGCACUCGGCCGUGCUCAGGCCAGCAUCGGUUUUCAUAGGGGGAUAAAAGCCUUGGGAAUGUGGCUCCUCCGGGAGUGUUAUA
rnacentral:rRNA from 1 species